rnacentral:misc_RNA from 1 species
UUUCCGUAGGUGAACCUGGGGAAGGAUCAUUAUUGUAUAACCGAGGUGCGAGGGUUGUCGCUGACCCGAAAGGUCGUGCACGCCCGAGUGCCCUCACACACAUCCAUCUCACCCCUAUGUGCACCACCGCGUGGGUCCCCCUUUGGCUUGUUCGGAGGGGGGCUUACGUUUUCACACAAACUUUGUAUGCAGUGUAGAAUGUAUUUUUUGUUUUUGCGAUCACGCAAUCAAUACAACUUUCAACAACGGAUCUCUUGGCUCUC